rfam:Salmo salar isolate Sally breed double haploid chromosome ssa19, whole genome shotgun sequence.
UAUAUAUACAUUUGUAAGUCGCUCUGGAUAAGAGCGUCUGCUAAAUGACGUAAA